rnacentral:misc_RNA from 1 species
UAGACCUUCACCACUCGGUUUUUUGUAAUGAAAGACUGUUUAGUCGGUGCUUUGGGUGCUUUUGCCUUUUACUUUUUGUAAUAGGCUCACCUUAAAUGUCUAAGUGGUAUUUUUAACGUGAUAAGUCAUUCGUUAAAUCUCAUGUAUCACUCUAAUCACAAAUCUUUUUAAG